GUGCUCCCUUCAGCACUAAAACUGGAACCACACGGAGAGCAUCAGCACGGCCCCUGCACAAGAAUGACACACAAACCCAUGAAGCAUUCUAUAUUAAA
rnacentral:snRNA from 1 species